GACGAACGCUGGCGGCGCGCCUAACACAUGCAAGUCGAACGGAGUUGUGUUGAAAGCUUGCUGGAUAUACAACUUAGUGGCGGACGGGUGAGUAACACGUGAGUAACCUGCCUCUCAGAGUGGAAUAACGUUUGGAAACGAACGCUAAUACCGCAUAACGUGAGAAGAGGGCAUCCUCUUUUUACCAAAGAUUUAUCGCUGAGAGAUGGGCUCGCGUCUGAUUAGAUAGUUGGUGAGGUAACGGCUCACCAAGUCGACGAUCAGUAGCCGGACUGAGAGGUUGAACGGCCACAUCGGGACUGAGAUACGGCCCAG
rnacentral:rRNA from 1 species